UCACUGGGGGCGUUUUUGAACUGAGAGUCCUGAUAGGGACGACCCUUUGAACCUGAUCUGGAUCAUACCAGCGAAGGGAAGUGAGG
rnacentral:ncRNA from 1 species